rnacentral:rRNA from 1 species
GAUGAACGCUGGCGGCGUGCUUAAUACAUGCAAGUCGAGCGAACGGACGAGAAGCUUGCUUCUCUGAUGUUAGCGGCGGACGGGUGAGUAACACGUGGAUAACCUACCUAUAAGACUGGGAUAACUUCGGGAAACCGGAGCUAAUACCGGAUAAUAUUUUGAACCGCAUGGUUCAAAAGUGAAAGACGGUCCUGCUGUCACUUAUAGAUGGAUCCGCGCUGCAUUAGCUAGUUGGUAAGGUAACGGCUUACCAAGGCAACGAUGCAUAGCCGACCUGAGAGGGUGAUCGCCCACACUGGAACUGAGCCACGGUCCAGACUCCUACGGGAGGCCGCAGUAGGGAAUCUUCCGCAAUGGGCGGAAGCCUGACGGAGCAACGCCGCGUGAGUGAUGAAGGUCUUCGGAUCGUAAAACUCUGUUAUUAGGGAAGAACAUAUGUGUAAGUAACUGUGCACAUCUUGACGGUACCUGAUCAGAAAGCCACGGCUAACUACGUG